ACUCAAAGGAAUUGACGGGGGCCCGCACAAGCAGCGGAGCGUGUGGUUUAAUUCGAGGCUACGCGAAGAACCUUACCUAGGCUGGACGUGCACGUGGUAGGGAACGGAAACGCGACCGACCUUCGGGAGCGUGCACAGGUGCUGCAUGGCUGUCGUCAGCUCGUGUCGUGAGAUGUUCGGUUAAGUCCGAAAACGAGCGCAACCCUCGGUGCCAGUUACAGGUGUCUGGCGCGACUGCCCGUGAGAAACGGGAGGAAGGUGGGGAUGACGUCAAGUCAGCAUGGCCUUGAUGCCUAGGGCUACACACACGCUACAAUGGACGCCACAAUCGGUCGCGAACCGGCGACGGGGAGCCAAUCCGCAAAGGCGUUCGUAGUUCGGAUUGCAGGCUGCAACUCGCCUGCAUGAAGCUGGAGUUGCUAGUAACCGCGCAUCAGCCACGGCGCGGUGAAUACGUUCCCGGGCCUUGUACACACCGCCCGU
rnacentral:rRNA from 1 species